rnacentral:rRNA from 1 species
AUUGAACGCUGGCGGCAUGCCUUACACAUGCAAGUCGAACGGUAACAGGUCUUCGGAUGCUGACGAGUGGCGAACGGGUGAGUAAUACAUCGGAACGUGCCCGAUCGUGGGGGAUAACGGAGCGAAAGCUUUGCUAAUACCGCAUACGAUCUACGGAUGAAAGCAGGGGACCGCAAGGCCUUGCGCGGACGGAGCGGCCGAUGGCAGAUUAGGUAGUUGGUGGGAUAAAAGCUUACCAAGCCGACGAUCUGUAGCUGGUCUGAGAGGACGACCAGCCACACUGGGACUGAGACACGGCCCAGACUCCUACGGGAGGCAGCAGUGGGGAAUUUUGGACAAUGGGCGCAAGCCUGAUCCAGCCAUGCCGCGUGCAGGAUGAAGGCCUUCGGUUGUAAACUGCUUUUGUACGGAACGAAAGACUCUGGUUAAUACCUGGGGUCCAUGACGGUACCGUAAGAAUAGGCACCGGCUAACUACGUGCCAGCAGCCGCGGUAAA